AACGAACGCUGGCGGCAGGCUUAACACAUGCAAGUCGAGCGCCCCGCAAGGGGAGCGGCAGACGGGUGAGUAACGCGUGGGAAUCUACCCAUCUCUACGGAAUAACGCAUGGAAACGUGUGCUAAUACCGUAUACGUCCUUCGGGAGAAAGAUUUAUCGGAGAUGGAUGAGCCCGCGUUGGAUUAGCUAGUUGGUGGGGUAAAGGCCUACCAAGGCGACGAUCCAUAGCUGGUCUGAGAGGAUGAUCAGCCACACUGGGACUGAGACACGGCCCAGACUCCUACGGGAAGCAGCAGUGGGGAAUAUUGGACAAUGGGCGCAAGCCUGAUCCAGCCAUGCCGCGUGAGUGAUGAAGGCCCUAGGGUUGUAAAGCUCUUUCACCGGUGAAGAUAAUGAUGGUAACCGGAGAAGAAGCCCCGGCUAACUUCGUGCCAGCCGCCGCAGUAAGAC
rnacentral:rRNA from 1 species